AAAUAAUUAAUUUGGGGGAAACAUGUUUAGAUGACCUACAGGCAGUGUAACAGAGGGAGAGGAGCUGAGACUGACUGCUCUGUAUUGUACGAUGGAGUGAGA